rnacentral:rRNA from 1 species
GACGAACGCUGGCGGCGUGCCUAACACAUGCAAGUCGAACGGAAAGGCCCUGCUUUUGCUGGUUGCUCGAGUGGCGAACGGGUGAGUAACACGCGAGUAACCUGUCCCUGUCUUUCGGAUAACUUUAGGAAACUGCGGCUAUUAUCGGAUAGGAGCUCCUGCUCCACGGUGGGGGUUGGAGAGUUUCGGCGGUUGGGGCUGGACUCGCUGCUUAUCAGCUUGUUGGUGGGGUAGUUGCUUACCAAGGCUUAGACGGGUAGCCGGCCUGAGAGGGUGACCGGCCACAAGGGGACUGAGGGACGGCGCAGAAUCGAACGGGAGGCAGCGGGGGGGAGUAUUGCGGAGUGGGCGGAAGCCUGAUACAGAGGCGCCGCGUGCGGAAUGACGGCCUACGAGUUGUAAACCGCUUUCGCCUGUGACGAAGCGUGAGUGACGGUAAUGGGUAAAGAAGCACCGGCUAACUACGUG